rnacentral:tRNA from 1 species
CGCGGGGUGGAGCAGCCUGGUAGCUCGUCGGGCUCAUAACCCGAAGGUCGUCGGUUCGAAUCCGGCCCCCGCA